rnacentral:rRNA from 1 species
GACGAACGCUGGCGGCGUGCCUAAUACAUGCAAGUCGAACGCAGUGGGGACGGGUGCGUAACACGUGGGUAACCUCCCAUCAGAGGGGAUAACACUUGGAAACAGGUGCUAACCCGCAAUUGAUGGAUGGACCCGCGGUGCAUUAGCUACUUGGUGGGGUAACGGCUCACCAAGGCCACGAUGCAUAGCCGACCUGAGAGGGUGAUCGGCCACACUGGGACUGAGACACGGCCCAGACUCCUACGGGAGGCAGCAGUAGGGAAUCUUCGGCAAUGGACGAAAGCCUGACGGAGCAACGCCGCGUGAGUGAAGAAGGUUUUCGGAUCGUAAAGCUCUGUUGUUAGAGAAGCGGUAUCUAACCAGAAAGCAACGGCUAACUACGUGCCAGCAGCCGCGGUAAUAC